UCCAGGAUGAGCUGGGCAGCAAAUCACAGUGCUUCUGAGAGGAGCAAUAAAUGAAAAUAAAAAUACCAGUCUUAGAUGAACACUCCCAACAUCCAGCAUUCCCUAUGUUCGUCAGAUCCCAUGUAGCUGGACAGUAGGAAAUGGGAAGAACUAUAGAAACUAAAUAACUUUUGUGGUUUAAAUAUAAAUAUAUAUGCACAUAUACUUCAAAUAUAUUAUACAUGUAUUUACGUAUCCAUGAAUUAUUGCCGAUUUCUGGACUGGAACCAUUCUAAGUGGUAUCACGUUGUAGAACUGCCUUGGCGAUGCUGGUGACAACCUGUUCUUCUUGUGUAGAGAAGGUCUCAGACAUUUGUUUCAAGAGUUUCCUCUUUGCUAAGGUUCAGAUAAAGAAUAGUUCUCUAUCUAAAGAAAACUGUGACGGGACACGAUAAAAUUUAAGAUGCAAACAUGUCUGGCAUGACUGAAUUACAGUAAUACAAAGAGUCCAAAAAAAUAAAUUAAUUCUUAGAAGAACAAUCUAUGUACAUAAGAAAACCCAUGCACCAGAUUGGGCUGUGUUUGUCAUAAAUUAGAGCACAGACACCAAGCAUGUCAGUUGACUGGUUCUCCAGCCUUGUUGGUCUCAGGAACUCAUCCACCGACUUGACUCUGUGUCCUGUUGGUAUGUCCUGUAGCUUAUCUUUCCCAUAAAAUGCUUUAGGCCUUGUCACAGCUGCUCCUACUUUUGAUAUUUUGUGAGUCUUAAUUAGUCUUAAUUACAAUCUUCAUGAUGAAUAAAAAGAGGAGGGAAAGAAAAAAAAAGAAAGAUCUAAAAGUUAAGAUCAGGAGAUUCCUUGUGCGAGAAACAGCUGCUCCAAAGGAAAAUGUAUUCUUGACAAAUACAUAAGCUUCAGAUACUACACCUUGCAGAAAUAUGUCAUUAGUUGGCUGUCCCAUUGGACCGUGAGGGAGCUCCCAUACUCCCUUUUUUUCUCUUAGGAGUAGUACCGUUCAUGCUCCACAGUCACUUUAAGUACAUGUAGUAAGACUGAAGCCGAGAUGAUGGAAGGAAACUCUUUAGGCCUUUGUAUCAGCCAGUGUUUGAUAUGCUUGCAAGUUCAGGAGGUGCUUUUUAAGAAUGUGCCCUGAUGACGGAGCAUAAAAGGUAUUGCUAGAUGACCUUACAACACAUGUGGGUGCAUUCUAACAGCUUGGCAGAUGGCAUGCAAGGCAUUCCCAUAGUCAGAGCCAUGGAGGGUCAUACAUCGCAAGUGUAACAUUGUUACUAAUCCCGGAAAAUGAAUGGGGGCACUCUUCAGGGCAGGGCAGGGCCUGGAGCUCAGCCGUUAUUAUGUAAUGUUCCUAGAAAAUUCACAAGGUGGUAUUUUAAUUCCAGUGGUAACAAAAUUAUAACCUUUCUCCAUGGCAUCUAUGGGCCAAUGCUGUGCUCUGGGAAUCUGCACAGCAGAUAGGCAAGGCUUCCUGUGCAGGAAAUCCGUUUAGCUGGCAUAGAAAUUAUUCUCUGAAAUUAUGUCUCCAUCUCUUACCAGAUACCUAAUAAAAGCUGUAUUGUGAAUUGUUUGUAUUCUUUGUUUUUGCAUCUUACAUUCUCUCUCUCCUCUCUCCUUCCCUCCCUCCAUCCCUUCCUUUCUCUACCUAUCCCUCUCUUUCUCACUGUUUCUCCCCCCACCCCCAUGCCACUGUAGUACCUAGAGAUAAGGAAAUGAAGAAGGUCACCUCCUGGGAUGCAAGGAGACAGAUCUUCCAUAUCAUUAUAGAUUAAGGGCGCAUUGGAGAUACUCGAAACUGUGCUGAAAGUCUCCUCUGAAAUGCUAGUUUGAACAGAGAUCCUAUCCUGCUCUUUCUUUUCCCACGUUGAUGGGGGUGAGUUUGUGGGGAGAAAUAAUUCUCCUGAAAAUGUUCAUGGCGAGGGAGAAACUACUGUCCCACCAUCUAUGCUGCAGGAGCUCAACAGUGCUGAGGAGAGAUGUUGCUUUUAUGGGAAACACUGGCAGCCAUUUAACUCCAUGGACUAAGUGUGUUCAUAAACCAAAGUGAGUCUGUGCACAGCAGAGUGCUUCCUCUACACACACACACAUGCACACAGACACAUAUACACAUGCAUACACGCACACACACACACAGACACACACUUUUUUUCACUAACAUGACAAUAUUAAGUGGAGUUGCCAAUGAUCAAUAUUUGUUCCAUAGGUAUUAAUUGCUGUUAUUUUAUGAUAGGUGAUUCUUAUGGGAAAGACGAAGUGAAUUAAUGAGAUACAAGAUUCAUCUAACAUCUCCCAUUUCAUAAUUUUGAUAGCCAUAGAGCAAGUGCAGGGAACUGAUAUUUAUAAACUUUAUUGAAAAGUCAUGGGCUUUUAAAAAUCAGGUUAGCAAGUGUACUUUUAAAAAUCUCUAAUUAAUGACUGGAGGAGUUUUCAGAAGCAGUCAUUAUUUUCCCAUGAGGAUUUCAGUUCUGUCUUUAGUACUAUGCUAAGGAAGGCACAGACCAUCCUAGGUUUGUAAACACAGUACCAUCUUCCCCCUUUCAGCUUUGUCCUCCAGGAGAAGACAUUGUGGAGAAGAAACGAACACUAGAGGUAAUUCCCUGGACCCAAUAUUCACACACAUGCACAAAUCAGUUGUGGGAUGUGGCUCUAACCAUUUUAUGUAUGGUUUUGUGCGAGAUAUAAGUAGAAACACACUGUCCAGGAAAGCUGCCCCUGUCUGUUGAGGCAAUGAAAACCCUAUUUGAAUUGCCUAUUUGAAAUGGCACUGUGUUGUAAUUUUGAAUAUGUCCUUGAUUUCAUGGUUAGUAAAAAUAAG
rnacentral:lncRNA from 1 species